AUAAUACAAUAUUAGAUAUAGAUACGCUAUGCACAGCUAAGGAUAUCUAAACUGUAUUAUAAUCCACGUGGUAGAGGCAUAGUUAGGUUCGCUAUGUGUGCAACUCUUAGUAGCAACUAAUCUAAGCAAGUAAAGAGAAUUAAUUGUUGACCCAACAAUAUGUUAUAGGGUACUUGACAGUCUGAUACUAACUGAACAAUAAGUAUCA
rnacentral:ncRNA from 1 species